GAAUGANUCGUAAUUUUUGCCUCUCACCAAUUUGUGGUGUCAGGUNGACGUGGAAGUACURCCCAUUMUCCUUGAUUGCUUCGUCCUUUUGCGUUGCARUCGUGGCCCAUGGGUUGCUAYUAGUUCCCUCGGAUGCAGAACCUUUGAUGGGUGCACAGUAUGUUGUUGCUGUUUAACCCCGAAGCGUUUAUCGGUCGAUGCGUACGACAGCUGUGCCCGUCUUGGUUCCCUCUCUAACUUGUUUGGAGGGGGCUCAUGCGGUGCCAGUGUCGCAAAGGAAUGCUACCUGGUUGAUCCUGCCAGUAGUCAUAUGCUUGUCUC
rnacentral:misc_RNA from 1 species